rnacentral:rRNA from 1 species
UACGUAGGGGGCAAGCGUUGUCCGGAUUUACUGGGCGUAAAGGGCGCGUAGGCGGUCGUGACAAGUCACUCGUGAAAUCUCCGGGCUUAACUCGGAACGGUCAAGUGAUACUGUCGGACUAGAGUACAGAAGGGGCAACUGGAAUUCUCGGUGUAGCGGUGAAAUGCGUAGAUAUCGAGAGGAACACCUGCGGCGAAGGCGGGUUGCUGGGCUGAUACUGACGCUGAGGCGCGAAAGCCAGGGGAGCGAACGGG